CGCCUUGCCAGCCCGCUCAGAACUACAAAGGAAUUGACGGGGGCCCGCACAAGCGGCGGAGCAUGCGGAUUAAUUCGAUGCAACGCGAAGAACCUUACCAAGGCUUGACAUAUACCGGAAACUUCCAGAGAUGGUUGCCCCUUUUAGGUCGGUAUACAGGUGGUGCAUGGUUGUCGUCAGCUCGUGUCGUGAGAUGUUGGGUUAAGUCCCGCAACGAGCGCAACCCUCGUUCUAUGUUGCCAGCACGUAAUGGUGGGGACUCAUGGAAGACUGCCGGGGUCAACUCGGAGGAAGGUGGGGAUGACGUCAAAUCAUCAUGCCCCUUAUGUCUUGGGCUUCACGCAUGCUACAAUGGCCGGUACAAAGGGCUGCGAUACCGCAAGGUGGAGCGAAUCCCAAAAAACCGGUCUCAGUUCGGAUUGGGGUCUGCAACUCGACCCCAUGAAGUCGGAGUCGCUAGUAAUCGCAGAUCAGCAACGCUGCGGUGAAUACGUUCCCGGGCCUU
rnacentral:rRNA from 1 species